AGAAAACCUUCCUGCACGUGUCAUUGCCCUGAACGGGGCAGAUUCUCCUUAGAUCAGUCUCUAGCUAAAUGUAAUCAGAAUAUCUUCUUGAUCCCACAGAGGAGAACAACGCUGUAGCUCUCUAAUGUGGAAAAAGGAAAAAAAAAAAGUCCAAACAUCUUCUACAUGGAGUCGAAAAAAAGGAUAAAUAUCACCGUUGAUGAAAUCAUCUUGUUUGGAACAGUGGGGAUGAAGCAGGUGUGGUAA
rnacentral:lncRNA from 1 species